GAUGAAGAACGCAGCGAAAUGCGAUACGUAAUGUGAAUUGCAGAUUUCAGUGAAUCAUCGAAUCUUUGAACGCACAUUGCGCCCGCCAGUAUUCUGGCGGGCAUGCCUGUUCGAGCGUCAUUUCAACCAUCAAGCCUUCGCUUGUGUUGGGGCCCCGCGGCUGCCGCGGUCCCCUAAAUCCAGUGGCGGGCUCGUCGUCGUACCGAGCGCAGUAGACAUCCUCGCUCCGGGAACCCGACGGGUGCUGGCCGUGAAACCCCCCACAUCAAGGUUGACCUCGGAUCAGGUAGGAAUACCCGCUGAACUUAAGCAUAUCAAUAAGCGGAGGA
rnacentral:misc_RNA from 1 species